rnacentral:miRNA from 7 species
AGCCUUAUGAGGAGCAGCUGAGGGAGCUGGGAUUGUUCAGUCUGGAGACGAGGAGGCUUAGGAGCAACCUUAUCACUCUCUACAACUACCUGAAGGGAGGCUGUGGUGAGGUG